CCUACGGGAGGCUGCAGUGAGGAAUAUUGGUCAAUGGGAGAGAUCCUGAACCAGCCAAGCCGCGUGAGGGAAGACGGCCCUAUGGGUUGUAAACCUCUUUUGUCGGAGAACAAAACCCGGGACGUGUCCCGGACUGCGUGUAUCCGAAGAAAAAGCAUCGGCUAACUCCGUGCCAGCAGCCGCGGUAAUACGGAGGAUGCGAGCGUUAUCCGGAUUUAUUGGGUUUAAAGGGUGCGUAGGCGGUCCGUUAAGUCAGCGGUAAAAUUGCGGGGCUCAACCCCGUCGAGCCGUUGAAACUGGCAGACUUGAGUUGGCGAGAGGGAGGCGGAAUGCGCGGUGUAGCGGUGAAAUGCAUAGAUAUCGCGCAGAACUCCGAUUGCGAAGGCAGCGUACCGGCGCCAGACUGACGCUGAGGCACGAAAGCGUGGGGAGCGAACAGGAUUAGAUACCCGAGUAGUC
rnacentral:rRNA from 1 species